UUUACCUCUGUUUUCCUUUAACGUUUGUUGCAGGAUCAUAGAAUUCUAGUCUUGACAUCCUGAGGGUCAUCUAGUCCAAUGCCCUGCAAUGCAAGCAUCUGAACACAGAAGUCACCCAUCCAAUUUGAAACCACACCAGAUCCUGCUUAGCUUUGCAAAUGUGCAAGCAGUUUCAUUGCUGCACCACUGAGAGGAUGCUGUGAUGCCUUUGGGAAAAAUGGUUUACCAAUGAUGUAACUUAUAGCUACAGUCCUACACGCAUGCACAUAGUAAGUAAGUUCAGUGGAAUUUAGUAGCACUUAACUCUGAGUAGACAUGCAUAAGGUUGUGCUGCACUACUAUUGCUAACAGUUGGGUACAGGCCACAUGGUCCACAGCACUUUGAAAGAGGAGGGUCCCAAAGGGAUGGACUUGCUCAGUCUUGUUGCAAUGCUGUGCAAGAAAGCUGGUUCCUUUUCAGAAGCAUAGUGAUGAAGUCCUUCCGCUCGAUCCCAUGACCACUCCAAGAAAAUUAACUUUAUGAAACAGGUGCUGAUAUUGACAGGGUUUCUCAGCCCUGAGAGAAGAGAGCCAAUCCCUUUGAUCUGAGUGUAUUUCCUGAGACACUUUGGUCUCAUCUCACUAUGUAAACAUAUAGAUCGCUGCCUCAGUAAUGAAGGGGAAAGUGAGUAAUGUAGAUGCUAAAUCUCAGAUUUAGGGAAGAAUUUUACUUUCUGGCAGCUGGGCAAGUGUGAUGCUGAGAAAUUCAAUCUAACAUGCCCUGCUGUUCUUUGCUCUUGAGAGACAGCAAGUCACAGUGGACUCUGCAUGGACAGUAGAUGACUUGCCAAGAAUUACCAAGAUUAUUCAGGCACAUGGAGAUUUCAAGGAAGAAGAGCAAGGCCCCAGGAGUUAAAUAAGCUGCUGCCACCUCUUUAAAUACGUAGAGUUGAGAAUGGCAACAGAAUCAGUCUACCUAUCACAGACAGGCUAGUGCGAUGCAAGAGGCCUGCUAGUGUGCUGUGAGAAACUCAAUUAUAUGAAGUUUCUGUCAUCAGAGAAAACUGUGUGUUGCAUCUGUGUAUGUUUUCCCAUUCCAGCCUUUCUUUCCCCUGAUCAGGCUCCACCACGACAGGUAAAUUUGCUUCUCCUCUCCUAGAGGAACGCUUUCAUCCAUAAUUUCGAGUGCAGAGAGGCAACAGAAUUCCCCAUCUUCAGAAAGACUGCUCAUUGCAUCUUGGAAUAGAUCAGGGCUCUCAUAUUGUCUUUAUCAGAAGCCUCUCAAAAUAGCAAUAUGCAAAAACCUGGGGGGGGGGGUGGUCUGAGGACGGACUGUCUUUCUAUACAUGCACCCACCCAGCUCUUUAGACUCUGAAGCACUGUCUCUGCCCAGACCUUGAGAACAUCAAAUGUCUUUCUCAGAGUGGCCCAGUCAAGUGAGGUACAAUGAGUGGCUAUGGGAGAGAAAGUAUUUGCAGUGGUGGCACUCUGGUUGUAGAAUGCCUUUUCCACAGAGGCUCUCCUGGCAGCUACUUUUGCUAUCAUUUCAGCACCAGCUAAAUUCCCUUUUAUUUUCCCAGUGCGGUUACCAUAUUUUUCGCUCCAUAAGACGUACCUGACCAUAAGACACACCUAGUUUUUAGAGGAGGAAAACAAGGGGGGGGGGAAUUCUGAAUGAAACAGUGGAUGUAUGAUUUUUGUGGUUCAUGCUGUGGCCACAGCCAUGAUAUGUGAUUUGACGGUGAGUUUGGGGUAGCCCAAUGCAAAAAUCCUAAGAAUCCAUGUGGAUCCGUGCUUUGUAACCAUGUUUUUUUUUUUUUUAAUAAAUAAUUUUUAUUAAGGUUUUAGACAAUAAAGAAAGAGGAAAAAAACCAUACACAAUACAUAUAACAACAACACACACAAAAAGCAACACAAAAUUCAACAAUAAAAAACCCCAAAAACAUAACAAUUAAAAACAAUAUCUCUUUUCCAUUUCCAUUUUUAAAUUACUUACUUUCUGGACUUCCUCAUACCUCCCUCUUUUGUAUUCCAAUCCAAGUUAUUUGUCCAGCAGUUUCUUUUCCACUUUUUAAUCCCAAACUUUAAUUUAAUAAAAUAUUAAAAUAUAUAACUUCAACUUCUUUAAACCUAAUCCUUGGUCUUAGUAUCAUAUAACAUUAAAAUUUUCCCUCUUAAUAUCAAAUUUCCAUUUCUUUAAACAUCUUUAAUCUUAAUCUUUAAUCUUAGUCUAUCAUUAACUUUAACCUGUACAGCUGGAAACCACUUAUUUUCAAUCCAACAUCACUCUAACAUUCUUUAAUUUUGCAGUGUUUCUGAAGAUAGUCUUUGAAUUUCUUCCAAUCUUCCUCCAUCGACUCUUCUCCCUGGUCACGGACUCUACCAGUCAUUUCUGCCAAUUCCAUAUAGUCCAUAAAUUUCAUCUGCCAUUCCUCCAGCGUGGGAAGUUCUUGUGUCUUUUGUAACCAUGUUUUUGUGCCAUUGUGGCCCCACAAAACAAUGGAUGCGUGGUUUUUUUGGUGCAGGCUAUAGCCAUGGACAUGCUAUGUGAUCUGAUGGUGAAUUUGGGGUGACCCAAUGCAAAAAUCCUGAGGAUCCAUGUGUAUCUGUGCUUUGUAACCACAUUUUUGCGCCAUUGCAGCCCCACGAAACAGUGGAUGUCAGUGUUUGAAAAAGAAAAGGUUUUGACCUCCUUUUUACUCCUUUGCCUAGUCCUCAGACCUUAGUUGGCACAAAAGAGUCUUUGAGAAAGAGUAUUCUUGCAGAGUAUUGCUGCUUUUAUUCUUAAAAAGUCUUCUCCAACCAGGACUGACAGCUUUUACACACACCAAAUGCAACCAGCUUUCUACCAUCCAAACAAACACUAACAUUGACCACUCUAUAUAUACAGCUACAAUUUGGCGAAAGGUUGCAUGAGUCAUUGUAGGUCGUUUACUCAUGCUGACUUAGCUCUUUUAGCAUUAAAGAAACAGCUGCCAAUUUUUAGCCGUGACAGUGGAUGUGUGCUUUUUUGGGUGCAGGCUGUAGCCAUGGACAUGCUAUGUGAUCUGAUGGUGAAUUUAGGGUGACCCAAUGCUAAAAUCCUGAGGAUCCAUGCGGAUCCGUGCUUUGUAAUCACGUUUUUGCGCCAUUGCGGCCCCACGAAACAGUGGAUGCGUGCUUUUUUGGGUGCAGGCUGUAGCCAUGGACAUGCUAUGUGAUCUGAUGGUGAAUUUGGGGUGACCCAGUGCAAAACUGGUACAUCAUUUUCAUAUAAUUUUCUUUCAGAGUACAGCAAUGCUGAGAAUUUCACCACCGCCUAAGCAUCAUCGGCCUGGGCAGGCUGAGUCUUCCUGUUUUAUACCUGCUGGGAUUUACAAGGCAUAUGACCCUCACCUGAAUCUCAUUUAACUCUUGGGGUGGGAUUAUCAUCAGAUAUCAUGUGCAUGGAAGUUGCC